rnacentral:rRNA from 1 species
CCAGACUCCUACGGGAGGCAGCAGUGGGGAAUAUUGCACAAUGGGGGGAACCCUGAUGCAGCGACGCCGCGUGGGCGAGGAAGUAUUUCGGUAUGUAAAGCCCUAUCGGCAGGGAAGAAGAAAUGACGGUACCUGACUAAGAAGCCCCGGCUAACUACGUGCCAGCAGCCGCGGUAAUACGUAGGGGGCAAGCGUUAUCCGGAUUCACUGGGUGUAAAGGGAGCGUAGACGGCGGCGCAAGUCUGGAGUGAAAGCCCGGGGCCCAACCCCGGGACUGCUCUGGAAACUGCGGCGCUGGAGUACGGGAGGGGCAGGCGGAAUUCCUGGUGUAGCGGUGAAAUGCGUAGAUAUUAGGAGGAACACCAGUGGCGAAGGCGGCCUGCUGGACGAUGACUGACGUUGAGGCUCGAAAGCGUGGGGAGCAAACAGGAUUAGAUACCCCGGUAGC